rnacentral:rRNA from 1 species
CUAUGCGCCUUGCCAGCCCGCUCAGUCAGAGUUUGAUCCUGGCUCAGAUUGAACGCUGGCGGCAGGCCUAACACAUGCAAGUCGUGCGGCAGCGAAAGAGAGCUUGCUUUCUUGUCGGCGAGCGGCAAACGGGUGAGUAAUGUCUGGGAAACUGCCUGAUGGCGGGGGAUAACUAGUGGAAACGGUAGCUAAUACCGCAUAACGUCGCAAGACCAAAGUGGGGGACCUUCGGGCCUCACGCCAUCAGAUGUGCCCAGGUGGGAUUAGCUGGUAGGUGGGGUAACGGCUCACCUAGGCGACGAUCCCUAGCUGGUCUGAGAGGAUGACCAGCCACACUGGAACUGAGACACGGUCCAG